GCUGAUGUGAAGCCCCCGGGCUCAACCGGGGAGGGUCAUUGGAAACUGGGAGACUUGAGUGCAGAAGAGGAGAGUGGAAUUCCAUGUGUAGCGGUGAAAUGCGUAGAUAUAUGGAGGAACACCAGUGGCGAAGGCGGCUCUCUGGUCUGUAACUGACGCUGAGGCUCGAAAGCGUGGGGAGCAAACAGGAUUAGAUACCCUGGUAGUCCACGCCGUAAACGAUGAGUGCUAAGUGUUGGAGGGUUUCCGCCCUUCAGUGCUGCAGCUAACGCAUUAAGCACUCCGCCUGGGGAGUACGACCGCAAGGUUGAAACUCAAAGGAAUUGACGGGGGCCCGCACAACGUGAGCAUGUGGUUUAAUUCAAGCAACGCGAAGAACCUUACCAGGCUUGACAUCCUUUGACCCUCUAAAUAAGCUUCCCCUUCGGGGGCAAAGUGACAGGUGGUGCAUGGUUGUCGUCACUCUGUCUGAGAUGUUGGUUAAGUCCCGCAACACACCUUAUUGUUAGUUGCCAUCUUCAUUGCACUCUACCAACUGCCGUGACAAACCUUAGAAGUGGUAUGACGUCAAAUCAUCAUGCCCUUAUAGAA
rnacentral:rRNA from 1 species